rnacentral:rRNA from 1 species
GACGAACGCUGGCGGCGUGCCUAAUACAUGCAAGUAGAACGCUGAAGGAGGAGCUUGCUUCUCUGGAUGAGUUGCGAACGGGUGAGUAACGCGUAGGUAACCUGCCUGGUAGCGGGGGAUAACUAUUGGAAACGAUAGCUAAUACCGCAUAAGAGUAGAUGUUGCAUGACAUUUGCUUAAAAGGUGCAAUUGCAUCACUACCAGAUGGACCUGCGUUGUAUUAGCUAGUUGGUGGGGUAACGGCUUACCAAGGCGACGAUACAUAGCCGACCUGAGAGGGGGAUCGGCCACACUGGGACUGAGACACGGCCCAGACUCCUACGGGAGGCAGCAGUAGGGAAUCUUCGGCAAUGGACGGAAGUCUGACCGAGCAACGCCGCGUGAGUGAAGAAGGUUGUCGGAUCGUAAAGCUCGGUUGUAAGAGAAGAAAGAGUGUGAGAGUGGAAAGUUCACACUGUGACGGUAUCUUACCAGAAAGGGACGGCUAACUACGUG